AGAGAGAGACAUGCGCGCAUAUCAAUAAGCGGAGGAAAAGAAACUAACAAGGAUUCCCUUAGUAACGGCGAGUGAAGCGGGAAGAGCUCAAAUUUGAAAUCUUCAAGGUUCUACCUUGACGAAUUGUAGUUUAUAGAAGUGUUUUCUGUUAGUGGAGUGGCAAAAGUUCUUUGGAAUAGGACAUCAUAGAGGGUGAGAAUCCCGUAUUUGGUCAUUCCUCCUAGCGUUGUGAUACACUCUCAACGAGUCGGAUUGUUUGGGAAUGCAGUCCAAAAUGGGUGGUAAAUUUCAUCUAAAGCUAAAUAUUGGCGAGAGACCGAUAGCGAACAAGUACCGUGAGGGAAAGAUGAAAAGAACUUUGAAAAGAGAGUUAAACAGUACGUGAAAUUGUCAAAAGGGAAGCGUUUGACACCAGUGUUGUUUUUCCGAAAAUCAAUUACGAAUGUUUUGUUUUUAAGAAGUUAUGACUUCAUCGGCUUGCUUCUUUCUUUACGAAACUUUCUUAAUGCACUUUUCGGUUAACAAGUCAACAUCAAUUUCUUUUGUUGUAAAAGGGUAUGAGGAAGGUGGCUUUCUUUUCGGAGAAAGUGUUUAUAGCCUUGUAGCCUCUGCAAUCGGAGAGAUUGAGGUCUGCAGCGUAGAUCCUUCGGGGUUAGAUACAGUUUGUGCUAAGUUAUAGCUUUUCAUAGACAACUUGUUGACUAUGUUUAGUCUUGUAGCUUACUCGCUGACGCUAUUUUACCUACGCUUAGGAUGUUGAUAGUCACAGCGUGUAC
rnacentral:rRNA from 1 species